CCUACGGGUGGCAGCAGUGAGGAAUAUUGGUCAAUGGACGAGACUCUGAACCAGCGAAGUCGCGUGAAGGAUGACUGCCCUAUGGGUUGUAAACUUCUUUUAUCUGGGAAUAAAACGUUCCACGUGUGGGAUUUUGUAUGUACCAUAUGCUUCAGGAUCGGCUAACUACGUGCCAGCAGCCGCGGUAAUACGGAGGUUCCGAGCGUUAUCCGGAUUUAUUGGGUUUAAAGGGAGCGUAGGUGGAUUGUUCAGUCAGUUGUUAAAGUUUGCGGCGCAACCGUAAAAUUGCAGUUGAAACUGGCAGUCUUGAGUACAGGAGAGGUAGGCGGAAUUCGUGGUGUAGCGGUGAAAUGCUUAGAUAUCACGAAGAACUCCGAUUGCGAAGGCAGUUCACUGGACUGCAACUGACACUGAGGCUCGAAAGUGUGGGGAUCAAACAGGAUUAGAUACCCCAGUAGUC
rnacentral:rRNA from 1 species